CGGGGUUUGUCGCAUGGGCGGACCCUCGACCCAGCCACGCCGCGUGCGGGAUGACGGCCUUCGGGUUGUAAACCGUUUCGCCUGUGACGAAACGUGAGUGACGGUAAUGGGUAAAGAAGCACCGGCUAACUACAUGCCAGCACCCGCGGUAUACAAGC
rnacentral:rRNA from 1 species